rnacentral:rRNA from 1 species
UACAGAGGGGGCUAGCGUUGUUCGGAAUUACUGGGCGUAAAGGGCGCGUAGGUGGCCUGCUAAGUCGAACGUGAAAUCCCCGGGCUCAACCCGGGAACUGCGUCCGAGACUGGCAGGCUUGAAUCCGGGAGAGGGAUGUGGAAUUUCCGGUGUAGCGGUGAAAUGCGUAGAUAUCGGAAGGAACAUCAGUGGCGAAAGCGGCUUCCUGGACCAGUACCGACGUUCAGGCACGAAGCGUGGGAGCAAACAGG